rnacentral:rRNA from 1 species
ACCCAACAGCUAGCCCACCUACCAACCUAACAACUAACUAUAAAUAAACCCUAAUACCCCAACCCUAAACUAUACAAUCCAUUUUUCCGUCCCAGUAUGUGCGACAAAAAACAAACUACGCGAGCAAUAUAGAAGAUACCACCGCGGAUACCGCUGAUGAUAUAUAAAACACACCUCUGAUGCCGAUAGCACAGAUUUCCCUCGCUCCUUAGGUGGCAUGAU